GAAAGGCGGCCUCUUACACAUGCAGUCGAGCGCACUCUUCGGAGUGAGCGGCGGACGGGUUAGUAACGCGUGGGAACGUGCCCUUCUCUAAGGAAUAGCCACUGGAAACGGUGAGUAAUACCUUAUACGCCCUUCGGGGGAAAGAUUUAUCGGAGAAGGAUCGGCCCGCGUUAGAUUAGAUAGUUGGUGGGGUAAUGGCCUACCAAGUCUACGAUCUAUAGCUGGUUUUAGAGGAUGAUCAGCAACACUGGGACUGAGACACGGCCCAGACUCCUACGGGAGGCAGCAGUGGGGAAUCUUGGACAAUGGGCGCAAGCCUGAUCCAGCCAUGCCGCGUGAGUGAUGAAGGCCUUAGGGUCGUAAAGCUCUUUCGCCAGAGAUGAUAAUGACAGUAUCUGGUAAAGAAACCCCGGCUAACUCCGUGCCAGCAGCCGCGGUAAUACGGAGGGGGUUAGCGUUGUUCGGAAUUACUGGGCGUAAAGCGCACGUAGGCGGAUCAGAAAGUAUAGGGUGAAAUCCCAGGGCUCAACCCUGGAACUGCCUUGUAAACUCCUGGUCUUGAGUUCGAGAGAGGUGAGUGGAAUUCCGAGUGUAGAGGUGAAAUUCGUAGAUAUUCGGAGGAACACCAGUGGCGAAGGCGGCUCACUGGCUCGAUACUGACGCUGAGGUGCGAAAGUGUGGGGAGCAAACAGGAUUAGAUACCCUGGUAG
rnacentral:rRNA from 1 species